UACGUAGGGGGCGAGCGUUGUCCGGAUUUACUGGGCGUAAAGGGUGCGUAGGCGGUUUUUUAAGUGAGAUGUGAAAUACCCGGGCUUAACUUGGGUGCUGCAUUUCAAACUGGAUAUCUAGAGUGCGGGAGAGGAGAAUGGAAUUCCUAGUGUAGCGGUGAAAUGCGUAGAGAUUAGGAAGAACACCAGUGGCGAAGGCGAUUCUCUGGACCGUAACUGACGCUGAGGCAUGAAAGCGUGGGUAGCAAACAGG
rnacentral:rRNA from 1 species